rnacentral:rRNA from 1 species
AGAGUUUGAUCAUGGCUCAGGACGAACGCUGGCGGCGUGCUUAACACAUGCAAGUCGAACGGAAAGGCCCGCAUCAUUUUUGUGGUGGGGGUGCUCGAGUGGCGAACGGGUGAGUAACACGUGGGUGAUCUGCCCUGCACUUCGGGAUAAGCUUGGGAAACUGGGUCUAAUACCGGAUAGGACCAUGGUUUAGUGUCUCAUGGUGGAAAAAUGUUUUUUGGUGUAGGAUGAGCCCGCGGCCUAUCAGCUUGUUGGUGGGGUAAUGGCCUACCAAGGCGUCGACGGGUAGCCGGCCUGAGAGGGUGGACGGCCACAUUGGGACUGAGAUACGGCCCAGACUCCUACGGGAGGCAGCAGUGGGGAAUAUUGCACAAUGGGCGCAAGCCUGAUGCAGCGACGCCGCGUGGGGGAUGACGGCCUUCGGGUUGUAAACUCCUUUCGUUAGGGACGAAGCCGCGCUUUUUUUGGGUGUGGUGACGGUACCUUUGUUAAGAAGCACCGGCUAACUACGUGCCAGCAGCCGCGGUAAUACGUAGGGUGCGAGCGUUGUCCGGAAUUACUGGGCGUAAAGAGCUCGUAGGUGGUUUGUUGCGUCGUCUGUGAAAUUCCGGGGCUUAACUUCGGGGUGGCAGGCGAUACGGGCAUAACUAGAGUGCUGUAGGGGAGACUGGAAUUCCUGGUGUAGCGGUGGAAUGCGCAGAUAUCAGGAGGAACACCGAUGGCGAAGGCAGGUCUCUGGGCAGUAACUGACGCUGAGGAGCGAAAGCAUGGGGGAGCGAACAGGAUUAGAUACCCUGGUAGUCCAUGCUGUAAACGGUGGGCGUUAGGUGUGGGGACUGUUUUUGGUUUCUGUGCCGUAGCUAACGCAUUAAGCGCCCCGCCUGGGGAGUACGGCCGCAAGGCUAAAACUCAAAGGAAUUGACGGGGGCCCGCACAAGCGGCGGAGCAUGUGGAUUAAUUCGAUGCAACGCGAAGAACCUUACCUGGGUUUGACAUGCACCAGACGGUUGUAGAGAUACGUACCUCCCUUUGUGGUUGGUGUGCAGGUGGUGCAUGGUUGUCGUCAGCUCGUGUCGUGAGAUGUUGGGUUAAGUCCCGCAACGAGCGCAACCCUUGUCUUAUGUUGCCAGCACUUUGGGUGGGGACUCAUGAGAGACUGCCGGGGUUAACUCGGAGGAAGGUGGGGAUGACGUCAAAUCAUCAUGCCCUUUAUGCCCAGGGCUUCACACAUGCUACAAUGGUUAGUACAACGCGCUGCGAGCCUGUGAGGGUGAGCGAAUCGCUGAAAGCUAAUCUCAGUUCGGAUUGGGGUCUGCAACUCGACCCCAUGAAGUCGGAGUCGCUAGUAAUCGCAGAUCAGCAAUGCUGCGGUGAAUACGUUCCCGGGCCUUGUACACACCGCCCGUCACGUCAUGAAAGUUGGUAACACCCGAAGCCCAUGGCCUAACCACCGUUUGGUGGGGGGAGUGGUCGAAGGUGGGAUUGGCGAUUGGGACGAAGUCGUAACAAGGUAACCGU